rnacentral:rRNA from 1 species
CGGAAUCGCUAGUAAUCGUAGAUCAGAAUGCUACGGUGAAUACGUUCCCGGGCCUUGUACACACCGCCCGUCACACCAUGGGAGUGGGUUGCAAAAGAAGUAGGUAGCUUAACCUUCGGGAGGGCGCUUACCACUUUGUGAUUCAUGACUGGGGUGAAGUCGUAACAAGGUAACCGUAGGGGAACCUGCGGUUGGAUCACCUCCUUA